UGUUUUCUUUGCUUCUGCCAGCACAGGUUGUUGGAAUCCUUUGCUUUGUGGAGUUAUCAAAACUUAUUAACUGAGAAAUCUGAGACCCUGGUGGUACUGAUUGCAGCCAAGGUAGUAGAGAGGGAGGGACAGAGGGUAGGGUGGGAAAUAUCAUUAUGUUCUCAAAAUUGUGUAUAUGAAAUACAUGAAAUUUGUUCCCUUUAUAUAAAUAAUUUUUUUAAAAAAGAAAUGUGUCUUUUAUGCAUAGUCAACAGUGUGGAACCAUUCCUGUCUCUUCAAAUAAUAUUAUUUCUUGAGCACUUAAUAUAUGUUAGGCAUAAUGCUAGGAACUUACAUCCAUUAUCUCAGUUAAUUCUUACACCAAUUAUAUGGCUUGGAUACUAUAAACAUUCCCAUUUACACUUGAAGAAAUUGAGUCUUAGAAAGGUUAAGUUACUACACUGCUAAAUUGUGUGACAGAGCCGGACAGAUUUUCAAAGUCCACAGUCUCAACUAUUAACUAAAUUAUACCAUCUUAUUUACAAAGUUAAAACCUACAUUGACAGGUCUAAAAUCUGUAGAACAAAUGCAUAGGGAUUUUGUUUGUCCUUUAUGCCUAGUAAUAUUCAUUUUUCACUGCUUCUCUUACUAUUUAAAUAUUUCAGUGACUAGGACAGUGCUUGUGGUCUUGGGGAAUCUCGAGCUUUGAUGAAGGGGAGUUCACUUAUUGGAGCUUCUUAUCUGCAGAGACCCAUUUUUCUUCUUUGAAGAUUCAAUAUCAACAAACAGGGAAAGAACGGUUAUUCAGAAGCAAACUAAGCCGACGCCACGGCUCACUAGGCUAAUCCUCCGCCUUGCAGCGCCGGCACACCGGGUUCUAGUCCCGGUCGGGGUGCCAGAUUCUGUCCCAGUUGCCCCUCUUCCAGGCCAGCUCUCUGCUGUGGCCAGGGAGUGCAGUGGAGGAUGGCCCAAAGUACUUGGGCCCUGCACCCCAUGGGAGACCAGGAGAAGCACCUGGCUCCUGCCAUCGGAUCAGUGCGGUGCACGGCCGCAGCGCGCCGGCAACGGCGGCCAUUGGAGGGUGAACCAACGGCAAAGGAAGACCUUUCUCUCUGUGUCUCUCUCUCACUGUCCACUCUGCCUGUAAAAAAAUAAAUAAAUAAAUAAAUAAAAAAGAAGCA
rnacentral:lncRNA from 1 species